CUCCCUUAAGUUUAUUCGCCCUCGACCGAAAAAUUUCGGAUUUCCACACAGCUUGAAACAUCUGUCUCCCUCCUUUUGAAACAUUCCUUAACUCUCUGAAUCUCCCUCAACUCUUCCCCUCUCAUCGCAUCUUCUCAGUCUCUUAAACAAAUCUGUAACUGUUCGCUGUCGUCGUCCCCGAGCUCGUCGCCAUAGGAGGAGUCACCGUUUGCGAUUUAACAUUCGCGGCCACUUCAGGCCCUUAGCUGUCGUCCUCACCGAGCUCGCCGCCAUAGGAGGUCAACAUCUUCAAGGUGUGGAUUUCAGUGUUCAUCUUCGUGUUUUGUUGUCUUGAGCUUAAUUAUUAUUAUUUUCACUGAAUCUGACUCUGACUGUAGUGUUUUUGUUUGAUUUGGCAAUUAUAUUGUGAAUUUACUCAAAUUUGGAAGCAUAUUCAUGUUAACUCGCGAGCUACCUCCUAGAAAUGUAAUGUAAGAGAGAGAAGGAGGAAACAGAAGAAUAGAAUAAAAGAGAGAUUUGAGGAGGAUGAGUAGUCGAGAACUACCUCUCCCUACUCUGUUUUUUGUUUCUUAGUUUCCCUUCAAUAUUUACUUUGUGCUUGUUCAUUUGAGUGCUUAGUUUAAAUCAAUAUUCCGACAAGCAGUUGUUUAGGUUUCAUGAAUUUUGGUCUUCUAAUUUCUUUGUGUUUGUGUUUGGCUAUUGGUUGAGGUCUGCCCUUCUCUGCCUUUUUUACUUGCAAGUUCCUAAAAGAGGAGAACUUCAAGCAGACAAUUCCCCCAGUAAAGGUUGGAGGAUGGCGAGGAAAUCACAUGUGAAAAGGCCACAGCCUCACUGAGAAAAUUUGUUCAUUUCUUUUCAGCCUUGCGGGCAAGUGAUGGCCAUUGGCUUGCUGAAAUGCUGGCCCAUUGUUUUUCCUUCCUCCUUUGGUCCUUUCGACACCAACUUCUUGGAAAAUGUACAAAAAGGCAGAGCUAAGUCAACCCAAGAACAAAUUGAUGAAGUUAAGAUCAAAUUAGUAGAAUUUGUGAGCUCCAUUAUUUCUAACUAUAGGUAGGAAGUAUGUAUGUAAUAGAAUAAAGAUUGGUUGACUAUGUAAUAACUAUUGAAUCUUCAAGUUUUAUGAAAGAAAUAAUUUUUGAGUGUAUUA